rnacentral:lncRNA from 1 species
UAAAUAGACUAUUAAAUAGGUAUUGAUAAAUAAGUAAAUAGACUAUUAAAUAAUCUGCUAUACUUUCAAAAAUUGUUUAUAUCAAUUAUUUUGUUUGGUAGUGAAAUUGGAUUACUACGAGGUAGGAUUUAUUUAAGAAACCAAAAUCAGAAAUACAUAAUGAGUACAAAUUCGUAGAAAUUGUGAGGAAGUUUUCUAAUGCCAAACAAAUUCGAAAUAGAGGAAUUUCGAUGUGAUGUAAAAUAAGAUGAACAAAUGAUAAGUAAAAGAAAUUGAGGAUCGAUCAUGACCGUUGAUAUUGACACCUUUUAAUCUAAGUUGUCCAUUUGUAUCUACAUGUAGACGGGGAGAGAGAGAGAGAGAGAGAGAGAGAGAGAGAGAGAGAGAGAGAGAGAGAGUAUAGAGAGAGAGAGAGAGAGANNNNNNNNNNNNNNNNNNNNUUCCUCGAAAUACAAUCAGGACGAGGGAGAAGAACCCAAUAUAGGAAAGGAAGGAUGGAGAAAAGGAGAGGAGGUCGGCGUGGGAGACCAAAGAGAACCUUCGCUCUCUCUCUCCCUCUCAACUCGUUUCUCAUGAGUCGUCUAGAAUGAGGAAAAAGAAAAGGAGGCGAUCGGUCAUCUAGGUCGGGUUCAUUCAUUAAGCAAGUUGAGCUGUAGAUUGUCGACUCGCAAAUAAAGGAAAAGAAAUCAAAUUCUUAAGGGUAAGAUCUGAAUCUUACAUUAAAAUUUGGUGCUAUUGAAAUGGACAAAUUGGAAUUAUUUUCUUGAUUAAAAACUGGGUCAGGGUGUUACACCUCCUUACUUUAUUUAAGGUACGAAUUUCCUUAAUUUGACUCACUUUCUGAUCAUAUUUUCUUAUCAUAGUUGUUCAGUAUUUAAAUAUACAUGACUUGAUCAUCUCUAUAAAUUUUCAGCUAAUUUGGUAAUCGAUAAGGUAUUAAAAAUGUAUUAAAUCAAUAAACGAACCAACUCUACUCAUCCUGAACCGUACGUUUUUUUUUAACUCUAAAUCACAAUUUUGAAUGCCUUAACGAUUAUCAAUUUGACUGAAAAUUUGUAGAGAUGAUCUACUCUUAUAUACUUAGAUACUAAACGGUUAAGAUGCGAAAAUGUGAUCGAAAAGUAAGUCUAAUUAAUAAAGAAAUCCGUACCUUAACUAAUUAAACAAAAGUAAGGAUAUCUUUAACUAAAGUAAGGAUAUCCUUAUUUCUAUAUAUAUGUGUCUGUGUGUGUAUAUGUAUGUAUGUAUGUAUGUUAGUCUUAUUGAUAAGGUUGUAUAUGUAUAGACUGUAUAACCAAGUCUUGUAAUUAAAAGAAUGUGAUAUUAUAUCGUAUAUUUUUUUUAAAAUAAAAAUAAAUAAAAGGUUGGUACGGUUGUCCUCAAGUUUUGAUUAAUGAAACUGUCGAACAAAAGAGGUGACAUUGAACAUUUAAGCCUAAACCUCUGAUUACGUACAUUAAGCAUAUAGCUAGAGAACACGGGUUUUUAUCAAUUAAACAAUUGUAUUUAGUAAGGCACCAACUACAAAGACUACUUUAUUGAUGAUUAUAUUUGUUUUAACAUAGUGUUACGUGAUAUAGUGAAAAUAUAACUCGAUAUGUAGCUCAAUUACAACAUAACAAAACUAUCAUACGCGCACAGCUUUCCUAUUAUGUUAUCGUAACAUAAACAAAAGAUAUUUCGUAUAUUCUUUAUUAAGGGUAAAUUUUUCAAUAAGCUCUUCAGAGAUAUUCCGAUUAAGUUUUCUUGCGCCAUGGUGCUAUAAUGAUAGUGUCAUUUUCAUGUUUCCAAGAUAAGAUACACGUAGAGACAUGACUUUUAGCUAACCCACAUCGAGUUCAAAACGUUUUUCAUGUGUAUAGACAGAUGAGUGAUCAAGUCCGUACCAAGUUUUGGUUUCCAUACCGCAAGGAGCCAAGCAUCGUAGGAGAAUGCACCACUGGUGGUUUUCAUCUCCAUCUUCAUCUUAACAAGGCAACAUACUAGCUUGUUAGUUAACUUCAAAUAUUAUGAAUACGUAAUUACUUUUUAUGUAUAAUAGAAGUAUGAACUGAUACAUAGCAAGUCUUCAUCGUAUUGGAUACCACCCAUGCAUCUUAUUCCUUUCGUUUCUUCAUCUCCAAUUGCUUUUCCUUUUCCCAUGACGAUUCUAUUGAACUACAGAUUCUCUGCUACUCUAUAAAACCUUGAGAUCGACUCAGGAUCUGAUUCUCCAAUAUUAAACCCCAAUGAACCUCCCCAAUUUGUUCUACCCCAGGCCACCACUCAAAUCAACAAUAAUUGAAAACCGUCAACGAAACCAGGUACGUAAUUCUUCACUUGAUAUUCUAGACGAUCUCCCCCACUGGAAAAAAAAAAAAAAAAAUACUCCCCCACUGCAAACCCGAAAACGACCCUAAUUAUUUUUAUUUGGCCCAUAAUUCAAGCAAAAUUAAUUUAUAACUAGCUCCCCAUCACUAUCUUAUUACUGUUUACCCCUUUAAUUAACUUUGUGGUCACAACAAAAAAACAAAGUUUUUAUUAUUUUUAACCCACGAAAAAGUAAAGUAAUUACACUACGUCACUUGCAGUGUUCAUCACUGGUUGGUUCUGGUUCCUCAUUAAUCAUUACUAUAUCUCCAAUCAAUUACCCACCGGCUUCGUGCUCCUCCGUCCGGCUCGGCUAACCUCGCGCCGAGCCAGCCCACGUUAGCAACCUUUCCUUGCCCAUUGGCUCUUUGCCAGUUCUGCUUAUGGGAUCUCGACACGUGUCUUCCAGUCCAGUCCUAGUUGUUUCUUCACGACUAAGCUUAAAACCCUAAUCUUUUUCAUGGACCCACAGUGGGGCUUACGUCAGCUCUUUUUUAAAAGCUCGCGGCCCACGCUAUAGUGCCACCUGACUCAAAAGCUAAGAGCUGUACAGACACGGCUUGCUUCAGUCACGCAUCUCGGACGGAAAUACCCUCGAUGAGGAGGUGUAAUUACUCGUUUUGCCCGGGCCGGUGAGCCUUUAAAUAUGGGACUCCUACGCUUCGUCUCUUCCGUUUCCUCCUCCUUCCUCUCUCCUUUAGUAAUUUCGAGCUUUUGUUUCAGCUAAGCCAUGUUGUCUACUAUUCCCAUGCUUCCUUCAGAAACCCUUCUUCAUUUUCCGGCUUUCAAUCCCGGUUUCACCCCCGGAGGCUUUACCCCAUGGGAGUCGGAACUUUUUCCGGCUAUCCAAUACUCCCCUAAACCCGUUGCCUCGAACCCUAGCUCAGAUGCUGCCCAAACCCUAUCCUCCAAACCGGUCAUUUCCAGCUCCGGUUCAGAUGACGACCCAAACCGGCCGGGCCGGUCCGACCUAGACCAGGCGAAGUCAUGCCCAAGUGACGGCUCGAAACGUUCGGUGGUGGACGAGCGGAAGCGGAGGCGGAUGAUAUCGAACCGGGAUUCAGCGAGGCGGUCGAGGAUGCGAAAACAAAAGCACUUAGAAAACCUAAGGAACCAGCUCAACAAGCUUAAGAUUGAGAACCGGGAACUGAACAACCGGCUCCAGUUCGUCAUGUACCAUUUUCAGAGGGUACGUACGGACAACGAAAGGCUCCGAGCCGAACACACGAUGCUCCGACACAAGUUGUCGGAGUUAAGUCAAAUUUUGGUUUUCCGGCAACUCCAGAACAUGUCAUCUGCAUGGCCAUGCAAUACCGUUAUUACCGAACAAAUCCCAUAACUAAUCACGUAAUUAAUGAUAUUUAUAAUCAAUAUAAACGUCAUUAAUUUUCCCUAAAACGAAAAAACAAAAGAGCGAUCACUCUCUUCCUCUCGUCAUUCUCUCCCCUAGAAUUCUCUGUAAAUUAUUAUAUAUACAAUAAAGCUGCUAAAGUAGAUAUGGGUAGGUUUUUUUGGUGAUUUUUGGCAACAAAAGUGGGUUUGGAAAAUGAUUGUUUUUCUUGUGGGGGUAAUUACUAUAUUAUAUAUUUUGUAUAAAAAAAAAUUAGCGAAUUAUGUUUUGUUUAUGGAAUCAUUUUGUAGUUUUUUUCAAUUUCGAAUCAUUUUGUUGUUCUUGUGUGCUAUUACCAAAUUAAUCGAUCUUGUAUUGAAGCUCCACUAGUCCAAUAUAUUUCAUAUAAUGUCGAUCACGGCCACAGAAUGAAACUUGUGCCAAUGUGCUGCGCGCCAAUGUUUCCACGAUAAAUUUAUAUCGUGCUAAACCAUGGAUGUCUUUGAUAAAUAUUGGAUGAAAGCACUAACCUAAAAAUGGAGGGAGACGUAUAAAAUUACGAGUGGAUCUUAUCAGAAAAGGGAUUGUGGAGACGAAUAUUCUAAAGGGUUAAGAUUGUCUUUGAGACUAAAGUGUAAAUAGAUGCCAAAAACAAUAGUCAAGCAAUGAUCGUCUACGUUUAUAGAGUUUCCCUUUUUGAAUAGUGACUAAUGACGAAGCGAACACGCUUUACUCUAGCUUGAUAAAAAAAUAUCACGCUUACCUACUUAAUCAUGCCCCGCUUAACCCAUUAACCUACACAUUAGCUUUUAAUUUUCCUUACCAAUAUAUACAAGUACAUGAAUAUUCAUGCACGAUGAUGAAGCGAUAUAUAAAAAUUACGUCAAGAUUUGUUUUAAAUCUCAUAAUAUCAUGCUUUUUUUUUUUUUGAAUAAGUAAGUAGUGUUAAAAGAAAAUGAUCGACCAAACUCACAGGGUGAUAAUGGAGACUUCAAGUUUGCUAUCUACGUACUCAACGUAUGACUCCGUAAUUGAAAACUUCUAAGUCGACAAAGGUAACUGUGUAACCAAAAAAAGUUAAGGGUAGAUGCCCCGACCACUAAAAAAAAUAAUACACCUAAUCACCUAUGGCAUGUUUUAUAAGUAAUUAUCACCUAAAAACUUUUUGGGUAGCUUCAACUUGGACUUAAAAAUUGUUCAUUCCACCCACUAUAUUUUCAGAUUCAUAUAUCCCUGUAAAAUAGAGAAUAUAUAGUCAAAUAAACAUAUGCAAAUAGAAGCUUCCAUUAGAAAAUUCAAAACUUAAAAAACAGAAGCAGAGAUGGAAACCCAGAAAUACAUAGAUAACUUACACAGCCAAACCAAUCAAAAAUCCUUGGACAAGAGUCUCCACAAUCCACAUAUAUAGCUGACUUGCUAGCUAGAAAAUAUGCUCAAAUUUCAAUUCCAAGCAAAGUACAAUUUCUUCACUGUGCUUUUCCCUGUCCUCUACCACAAUCGAUCCGAUUGGUUUUGGAUCAAGUCCAAACUAGAUUAGUGUAUAAACUUUGUGUAAUAUCAUACUUAAUUUGAGGUAGGACUGUAGGAGGGGGGCCACGAGAUUUUAAAGUUUUACAUUUCAAUUUUAGUUGAUUAAAGGGGUCACAACUCACAAGUUGUGAUCAAAUACGUAAUCCAAUCAGUGCAUAACAUAAAAAAGAAUGCAAUCGUCACCUCUAUUUUAAUCAAAAGUAAUUAUAUAUAGUUUAAUUAAUCACGGGAUGAAGAUUGUAAGUAACGCUCUAGCUUUGAUGUAUUGUAUUAAACUGGAGAGCGGCAAAAAUGUGCUACUGAAAGGGCGCUUCACUGUGUACAAGUUUAGGUUUGAGCUCCAUCAGGUUGGUUUCUCUUUUCCCUUUCUUCUUUCUGAAAGACAGUUUGACCUCUUUAUCAUAGCUAGGGGUGGCAAUUAGGGUUUGAUUGUCGGGCCAGUGGUAGUGUUUAGUCACAUACAUUUUACGUACACUAAUUGUGUCCACAUAAACACAGCAUAAUUAAGAUACGACUUGAUUGUUACAUUUGAUUCGACUAGUUGCCGAUGGACCUAUAAAACACGUUACGAUUAAAACUUGUACGAUCUAAGUUAACUGCAUUAUUUUUUUUAAACUCUCGAUGUUAGAAUUAGCUUAUAUAUUACUAUCUAUUUUGCGUUCAUCAAUCCUCUUUCUGCUAUCUAUGGCGUAUGGGUAUAUUGACAUAAACAUGACCUGAUUAAUAAUUAAUAAAAUGUCGAUGCAUAAUUUACUCGUAGUUGUGUUGAUAAUUAAACAAUAAUCUUAUUUAGGAACCUUAUUAGGAAUCUAAAAUGUUUAUAAACUUGACUUGGUCUUCUUCAUUAUUAACUGAGGUUAGAACACUUGGACACAGCUAGAAAUGUUCCUCCCUCAAAUUAUGGAUGUCAAAAUCACAAUUUUUCUGAACUUUAGUUAUAGUUUUGGUAUUUGAAAUCAAUAUAGUCUGCUAGAAAAAUCAGUGAGUGAUGAUAACUUAUGUAUGAUGGUAUACAACUAUUUUAAUGUACUCCAAGCUUGACUGCAUUACCAAAAUAGUUCACAAGAGUGGGAGUUGGUAUCGAUAGUAACAUACCCAGAUAAAAAAUACUCCUUAAAAGGCAUGAUCAAUGUCUAUGUUUCAAUCUUAUAAUUAAGGGUAUGAACUGCAGGCGUCUCCAUCCCUUACCCUUUCUUUGUUCAUCAUUUCUAAUUCAGUUCUAAAAACCCUACUACAUAACAAGGAAAAUUGACACGGGGCACCACUGCAGUCGUUAAUUCUACACUGUCACGUUAUAAACACACAUAUUUUAUGAAAACUAAUGAGUAUGGGCUUAUGUUAAUAUUUCCAGAUCCCCUUGGAUUAUACGAAAUUUUGAUUUGUUUAAAAUUAAUGACGGUUCACAGCUCAAGUGGAAGUUUGAUUUUGGGUGCUAAAUUGCUGACGUAAUUCUCCUUUUGAUUAAUAGAAAUAUAGAAUGGCUCCAAAGCUGGGCAUUCCACUUUGUCAUUAGAGUUCAUAAUCAAAAUAAUUUAAUAAAACCCACUUGAUCGACCAGAACCGUCAAUUAAAGAAUUCCUUGUUUUUGUUAAUUAUAUUUAUGUCUUCUUUACAGGUCUAGAUAUGUUGGAUGAUCAUGUUUGGUGUGACAAGUAACAACUACCAAUUAUGCAAGUACUCUACUGUUUCGAUUUAGGCUUUUGUAUACAAAACCAUGCCAAAUUAAACUUAUUCAUUAUUUGUUGCAAUUAUUUGGAUUCUCCAGGGGUCUAGGAACUUUCUUUUGCAGUUAUCAAUGGGAUUCGUAAAACCUAGCCUUCAAAAGGUUUUAGGUGUGAUAUAUAUUUUGGAAACAAGAAAGCUUAAGUUUAUCCCAAAUAGGGACAAAUUUGUGCUCAUAAGGCAAAUUUUGUAGCUGAUGCAAUAACACAUCUAGGUCAUUCUUUGCCCAAUAAUAAUACUUGGGUGAAUAAAGUUUCUAUUGAGACUAUCCAUGUUCUUGUAUUUGACAUUGUAAAUUACGUAUGCCAUAGAAGCUCCAUUAUCUAAUUUUAAGUAUUUUUCAUUAAAUUUUUUUUCUCUAUAUCGAUCUCUAUUUAAAAAAAGAGAUGAUAACUGAGUGUAUAUAUAUAUGUCAUUUCAGUGUUAUGUAUCCAUUAACCAAAUAACUGUAUUAGUGUUAUAUACUGAUAUACAUAUAGGAGUGAUCCUCUAUAGUGUCGGGCGGUGAUUUAAAAUUUAAAUUUCCUUCCUCAAAUAGAAAUGUAUACGCACACAUUACGUGAAUAUGCAUAAGAUCUUUCACUAGCCAUCCUCUUAAGUAGACAAAAAUUGAUUGAUUGAUCCUUAAUAUAUUGCUCGUGGAUAAAUUAUUUUCAGUGCAAAGUCUCUUCAUCAAGGUUUGGUUGGGCAUUCUUUGCAUCAUUAAUUUCCACUGAAGGAAUAAAAGUUGAUGGAUAAUAAGAAAGUUGUAUUUAAAAGAUGAAUAUGAUAGAUACCUACAAGCUUGAAUUUUACAAACUGCAACCACAUAUUCAUAUCGAUCUCUCAGAAGUCCUGGUACCUUGAAAGAACUCGAUCGGUAGCGCUAUUUUCAAUCAAAAUCAAGUACGUAACCUAAUCGUACUUGCUAAAGAAUUUCAUAUAGAAAGAAUGAGAUUCUGAAACGAUAAUAUUGAUUUCUACUUUACUUUGGUAAACUAGUUCCACUUUAUGACACCUUGAAGCUGUCGAAAUUAUAAAAUGAGCUUUGAGAUUGUCUAAAGGAGCAUCUACGUACUGAAGGAGAUAGGAUGUGCCUGUAGCUUAUUCUACAUGAUUGAGAACGAUGGCUUUGUAAGCAUCUUGGUCAAAAUAUAGUUUAUAAACUAGUGCAUGUAAUCUAUAUGUUAUUUAUGUGGGAUAUAGCUUAUGAGCGGUAACUAGUCAUCAACCUUGUUAUCGCUUAAUUAAACCUUAAAAUUGACUAAUGACAGUAACUUUUCUUGCCUAUUCAUUCUCUAAAACAAGGUAUCCAAUGACAUCUUUCUCAAGGCAACACACUUUGAUCUCAUGAGUUUGAGACACAAACUGUUCAAGAAAACCUAGAGCAAUCUGUUAUCGUACCACACUAGGAGUAUUUUCUUUUAUCAGUUAUAAAUUGUUUGUGAAUAGACUAGAUCGACAAAUUGAAAAGAAAAAAAAAAUUAUAUUAAACAUACAAUUAAGGAGUCCAAAAUUGUAUAUCCGUGUUAUACACUUGCCGGAUCGAAUAGCUCAUCACAAGCAAGGUUGCGAUAGAACAAAUAUUGUAGUUUGCGAGUAAACGGGUAAGUAAGCUUAUCAAUAAUUCAAGCUAUACAAGAAGGGUUUGUCUAUUAUACCGUAUGGUAUGACAUACCUAUUGUAAAUGUGUCUAAUUGUAUGACACAUGGUGGCUUUUGAAAGGGUAAAUGGUCAUUUAGUUGUUUCUUCAAUUAAUAAUAGCCACAUAUUUUAUGAUGUAUAAGUAUACUAGAAUUUUCCAUACGAGAAUCAGUAGUUUACAAUCACGGAGUAUAGAUGAUUGUGGAUCACAAAUUAAGUAGAGCAAAUAUAAUCAUUACUUCGAUCAUCACAGAUAAGUAGUCAAGGAGAGUGACUGUUAAAGCUUUUGACUUCAUAAUUUCGAUGAACAUAUAAAACUUAAAGCUCAAUAACAAAAACUGGUUUCCAAGCCCAAUCCGUUUUGUUGGGAAGAUUUAAAACGACAAGCUCAAGCCCACACUACUAUUCUUGCCUGCAGUAACAAGACUGGUUUUCUAUCUAUUCUGCCGUCCUUCUAUCUACUUUUUUCUCGUAUCAUCAAAAACAUUAUACUUUGAUCUUCAACCCAUGCCAAUUACCUUCCCAUGCUAAAUUAAUAGUUGAUUGCAUUCACUUGAUUUGAGUUGAUGUAUUUGCUGUUACCUGAAGUGUUGUUUAGGGUGGAUUUAUUACAUUGAGAAAACGAAACAUGAAAUCGUACGUAUCAUACAUGAAUGUGACGAUAUUGAGUUAAAAUCAUCUAUAGCUUGAAUUGGUUUGAAAGUUCCCAAGUCCAUGCCAAAGUACUUACAUUGUUAACCAAAAUUAACUCUAACCUUAUGCAUUUAGCACAAAUGAUUGAAAGUUGACAGGUAAUUAUGUAUACUCAUAGAGUAGUUAAUUUUAUAUUUAACCGGUUGAAAUAUUAUAAAGAUAGAUAUCGAAAAGACAAAAAUGACUAGAGAAAAGAGAGGAGCUGUAAUAGUUUUAGAAUGUGGGGUGAAAGUAUCCAUUGGCUCAAACUUUGGGAGCCACAAUUGCCAUUACAUCAAGGCUUUUUCUUGACUGAAGUCUAGCCGUUCUAAUAUAUUCUCAGAAAGGUGUUAUGGGCAUUUUCAGUUUAGGCACCCUUGCGUUGUUCAAAUAGCUCCAUAAACUCUUUCUUCUACAACAAGUUAUCUAAUACUCAUCGAUCUUAACAGGCGCCUACUUUUGUCCCUAAGAAGAACAUCAAUUCUUGAAUUCUGGAACGAAAACUCUGAUUCGCUACUCUUCAAUUCAGACCCAGUUUCUGCAGCACCUUUCUUCUUUUUCUUCUCUUUUUUAUUUCUUGAAAAUAGACCCGUAAACAAACGUUUGAUGGAACUACUACCUCUACUUUUGGUGCACUGCUUGUAAGCCAAAAGAAAAGGGUCAUGCUUUACAGUAUUGCUUUUAUUCGGAACCUUCAAUGGACAUGAUGGGGGAGGCAAAGGGAGCUGCAGCUUCAUCUCAUUAUUUUGAUCGAAUGCCUUUCCUGGGUUUUCUUCCGAAACACACUUGGGUUGUGGCAAGCAUCCGGAAUGAGAACUAAUUAUAAGGGCAGGGUCUCCAAUUGUUGCAUGAAAUUCUUUGUUUGUCUUUGAGAAUGGUACUAGUCGACGGUCGUCAUCCCAUGCAUAGCGUGAACUCAUGGUCCUUGGCAAAACCAUGAUGUUUUACAGUGAUAUGCAGCAGCUGGUGAAUAGUAGGCUAGGAGAUAGAAAAGAUAGAGAAUAGAGAAGAAAACAACAGAUCCGUUUUUCACUCACUACAAUGUCUCUUAUUUAUAUAUAAGAGCUACAAAUAAAUCUAAAACAAUUAGGAAUCCUAACACUUUAGUAAAUCAUAAUUCCUACGACAAUGGGAAACACGAAACAUUCCUAAAAGCAUGAGAAAGAAGAAAAUGUGGAAUAGUACAUUAGAAACAUUCCUAUAUAGUACAGUCCUAAAGACAGUAGAAAGAAGAAGCUAUGAACAAUGGCUAUUCCCCAUCUUGCAGACCAAACAAGAGUAGUAAUUAAUGUUCUUGAGAGAGAGAGAGAGAGAGAGAGAGAGAGAGAGAGAGAGCUCCUAGCCGUAAUAACAAUUUGACACUAUUUUGAGAGUUACCAUUGUCUUUUAACUAAUGUCGUCUUUGAAAGUGAUCGAGUAUGACACACAUCUCCUAAAUUUGGUGUUUUGUUAUUGUCUCGGAGUUUUUUACUUUGACAUAUUACUCCAAUCGUAGAAGACUCGAAUACUACUCGAAGAAGAUUCGUGCGCAGGUUUAUGAAAAAUGGACCUUAUAUAUGUUAGGUUCUGUCAUUAUGAUUUCCUCCCUUUUGGGUUUGUAUGCUAGGCCCUAUUGGAAAGUAAAACUAAAAAUUGAUGUAGUGCCAAUUGAUUAGUCAAUCGAAUCAUCUGUUGUGGAAAACUAUAAGCUUUAGCUGUUUCUGUUUGGUGCAUCUAACUUUUCAAGUCAUGUCCCAUGAACAGAAAAUAGAAGUCUCGUGCUCCAUCAAAACUUGCCUACCUGGAAGGAAAUCCAACACAUACAGCUACACAAUCGGAAACCCACUAGCUAGCUACCAUUCCUGAGAUUAUCAGAGGCAAAAAAAUGAAAUAAUCCUGAUCAACACGAAAAUGCAUCAAGGUCAAUUUAGAUGCCUGGGAAAUUCGAAUCAGAUGAAAUAUAGAAGCAAUUCAAUCCAUUAUUCGGACUGAUCAAACUAAGUUUCAUCCUUACAAGUAAAAUCUCCCAUCACAUUAUCAUCACAAAUUAAUUAAGAUGACAUAAAGACUCCUAAGUUUCUAUAAACAAAGCAAUGAACACCAACCUUCAUCUUCAUAAGCGAAUUCUGUCUCUAGGAAGAGGAGGAAGCUUUACAAAAUUACCAUCCCUAACCUCACAUGAAUUCUUGCACGAAAACACAGAGUACUUGCUCUUCAAUUUCGACCCGAUUAUCCCCACAGAGCCUCUCUUGUUUUUCUGAGCAACGAACUUGUUACCUGGAGAAGAAUUCACAGCAGGAGCAGUAGUACUAGUUGUUCUGGUGCACACUUUGAAUGCCAAAAGAAAAGGGUCCUCCUCUGCAGCUUGGCACUUGAGUCCUUUCCCAGAAGCGCUUCUGCUCGGAACCUUCAACAAACAUGGAGGCAGAGGGAUCUUUAUGUCAUUCUGAUCCAUUCCCUUAACUGUUUUUUUUCUCCGGAAUCUUCAGAAACGCCAUUAGGUAAUGGUGGUCGUGACAAUUUUGAACCAAGAGCAGGAAACGCAGUUUCUGCAGGGAAGUCUGCGUUGUUUGCAACCUUGGAGACUCCAGGCUUGGCCUCCCAAGCAAAGGGUAUGUUCCCUUGUGAAUGAACCCUUCUGUGACUCAUGGCUUUUGAAGAGGAAAUGGAAAGACAACGAUCGAACUGGGUUUGUUUCUAUGGUUUUUGAAUCUAUAUUUGAGAAGAAGCUAGUGUCUAAUGCUAAAGAUCCCUAGGUUUUCAUGUAGUCUGCACUUUCUAACUGCCAGAGAAACCUGAAAGGGCGAAGCAAGCAUAACGUGAACAAGAGGAAGAAGAAAGAUGAGUCGGUUUUUGAAACGAACUUCAAUAUUUCCAAGAAACAAUGAGCAAAUCGUGAAGCGGUUUCCAAAUCCUAGUCUCAAAAAGAGCGUGUGUGGUACGAAAAUUAAAGCAUGAAAUGGGUUUGACGGAUUCAAUGGUGGCAUUAUUUGAGUUGGUGAAGUGGGGAUGUAGUGCUCAUAAAUAAUGGGCAUGGCGGUUUAGGAAAACAAACAGGCUGCUUUAUUUUACCCUAAAGAAGGGAAAAGGGGGAAACAAUAGUGUUGCAAGUUUGAUCACAAUGACUCGUUAACGUUUCCAUGACAUUACGUGUGACAUCGUAUGUAUGCCCAAUAUCAUGAAAUCUAUCAAAAACCCUAUCUAUAGCCAAGCCUCAAAGUUGAAUGCCGUGAUUAAUACAUUAAAAGGACCAUAUCUAACUAUAGUUACGACAUACAAGAAGAUUAUUGAGCCUAUAAAUCAAAUCUUUCCCAAAAAUUAUUUAUCAUACUCCCUUCACUUAAAUUAAAUUAAAAGUUCAUGCGAAAUAUUUAUAAAACUCGAUCAAAGUGGCUAUGUUUUAGGGGACUCGUAUCAUAAUUAAAUGUCAUGACUGAUACAUCAUGCAGAAAAGAACUUGAGUAAACGUAAUCGAAAACUGAAAGUAAAAUUGAAAAAUGUCAGAAGGUUGUUGAGCCUAUAAAUCAAAACUUUUUACAAAACUCGAUCUACCAUAUUCCCCAGCAUCACAUGCUUAAGCAAUCAUUUAAUUAGAAGUUCAUAUGAAACAAAAAAAAAAUUAUAGAACUUGAAAAGAGGUUGAAUAAUCCUAUUGUGUGGCUAUGUAUUGGGGAUAGUUCAAAGCUAAAUGUCAAGACUAAUACAUUAUGGGAAAAAGGGAUUAAGAAAUCAAAUGGACAACAUUUAACUACAGUUGGAACAUGUUGGAAAGAAUUUUAUCAUAUUCCGGCAAACUUGGAAGGGGAUUGAAGAGUCCAAAUUCAAGGCAAAAUUCAAAUCAAAUUACCAAGAACAUCUGCUAUCUUCCUUGACGUUAUUUGUUUCACAAUCUGCAAUCUAUGUAUGGCCGAGAUCAUGGAAGUGUCAGGGGAAAAACGACAUAUCAAGUCGAGCAAAUCUAUCUGAAUCUUGGAGGGUGGAUAAUAAAGGAUGCUAGUGAAAUAACACGCAGUAUGCAUCAAAUUCUACCCUUUUACUUUUUUUUUUUUGAAACAUAGACGUAAACCUUUAAUACCAAACUGGAAAAUGAUACAUACCAUUUUACUUCUUGAAGUUAACUUUUAUCUUCGGAAGUCUAUCUUUAUGGUUGGUAGGGCAAUUGACCAUGAAACUUAUGUAUGGUGUAAAUGAAAUCAAAGCCUUCAUUGAUUGGGACCAUGAAAACGAUCCUUCUCUAACUUUGAAGCAUAAACGCUAUUGCUGAUUUGAUUUUCGUUGUUGAAAUUUCUUCGUGUGGAUAAAUUUCAGGCUUUGAGGCACGACCAUACAUCGUCUUCAAUUGGGAAAAUAAUUAGAAAUUAAGGGAUUGAUGGUUACCAAUACCAGCAAUUAUUAUAGAAUGCGCUAAAAAGGACAAAGAGAGGGACAUUGUGACAAAAUUUUGGUAAUUUUAUAUCGUUAUUGCAUAACAUGUGUCUUUGUUAAAAAAAGACAACUGAGAAACAUGAAUUUUCUGUUUUUGGACCAGAUGUAAGACAGAAAAAUGAUCAAUCUUAUCAGUCAAUUACAAGUAACUAGUGAUAGCAAAAGAAAAUUGAAUAUUGUUUGUUGGGCCAAACAAACUAAUUGAGGGAUGAUGUUUUUGACUACACGGAAUUGAUUUUGAGUCAUCGUCAUCGAUCCAUUUUGUUAGAAAGUCGGACAAUGUAACUCGAGCACAUUUUUAUUAACACACUUGCAUCGUUUUUAGAUUUUUAAGUGCCUAAGCAAGGAUAAUUAUGUGAAUAUAACUAUUUUCAUGACAUACUGACAUAGCUUAUCAUUUUGCUGCUUUUUUUGAAGUCUUUUUGCAAAGUGGUAAUAUCCUAGAAAAGUCAUUCGAACACCAAAAUAUGUACUCCUAAUAUCAUAUUCACACUUCACAAAUGAAGCAAAGUAAAUCAGUCCAUACAAAUUCUACUUGUACCACCAAUCCUUUCGUACAAAAACGAAGAAGAAGACAAAAAUUAUGAUUCUUGAAUUACAUUGCAGGAUAAUUGAGCCGGACAGAGAAAAACAAUGAAGCCUAAAUCCAGCCUGGUGUUUGGGCCCAAAGGACAAGAUUAGCUUGGGAAUUGGGCUUGAGCUCAGUUAGCAUCACAGAUGAGGGUUAGUAUCGUCACUUUGAACCGCCUAUAUAAUCCCAUGCUCUACAGAACUUUAGGUCUUCGAAACCUUCCGCCUCCCUUUGCUCUCUCUAUUCCCGCCGAUCAUCUUUCUCUCAUUCUUUUUUUCAUGAUUUCAAUUUGGGUUUUUCAUUGUUGGCUUUUGAAAAUUGUAAAUACUAGAGGGCGAUGAUGAUGAAACGUUUCUCGAUUCUGAGUUUAUGUUUAUAUACAUGGACGAAUGCUUUGCUGCUUGAUGACUGUAUUUAUGCGUGUCUGAGCCCUUGGUUUUACUUUGUUUUGAAUUGGGUAGUUAGAAAGUUUGCAUUUUGAUAUGAAGUAUGUGUUUCUGGAUGUAUAAGGUGAACUGGGUGUGGCUGUGAUUACAAAGUAAAUCUGAAUGCUUGAUUGUAUUUAUGCAAUUGGGUAUAUAAGCAUGACAGACCCUUUUACACCCAUAGAAUAUGAGCCACACAUAUUCUCAGUUCCCUUUAGACUUAUUUUGCUUACUUAAUUUCUAUUGGGUUUUUUGGUUUUAUUUCUGGGGUUUAUUUUCUGAAUUUGGAUUUGUUAUUGCACUGAAUUUAACUUGUACCAAGUUCUAAGCUGGUUUUUGACCUCAUUUCAUGUGUGUGUGACAGAGAGGGAAUUGGUAGGGUAAGUUUUGAUGUCGUAUCAUACACUGAAUUUCUGACAGUACCAGCUCCUGGAAACAGAAGCAGAACUUCCAGUUUGGUACUGUAUUGGUGGUAUUGCUGCUAAUGCUGAGUGGAGUAUCACCUUAGUCGUCACUGGUGUUCUGAUAGACCAAUUGGGAAAGUGCAGCAGUCAGGCAAAUGUGAGCAUUUUGUGAUAUAUGAAAAGGCAUGAGAAGUGGAAAGGGGGGUUGCAUUUUCAGUCUUAUCAUUACUGAAGAGUGGCCAAAACAUGGACAGUCAGAAAGUGAAAUAUGUACAGAAUAUUAAGGGGUUGUUGACUGGUUGGGCUUAACACUGUCAAGGUAAAUAUGGGAGGAUUGAAAUUGACAAUUUAUGGAGCUAAAAUGUGAUCAGAAAGCUACCAUUAUAGACCAAAAUGGCCUAAACAGCCUAAUUAGACAGAAAUUUAAGUUUGUGAAGAGUGAAGAUAAAGAAUCCUGGUUUACAACUAGAGAACUGAUUUUACAUAUAUUCCUUCAAAUUCCCAACUAGCCCUUGGUUCCAACAAUCUAUAUAAUUAUAACCUAACCACAUGGUGAUAAGACAAUUUUGAUGAUCAUGAGAUGGUAGGACAAGCCCCUAUUAAAAUGUGGUCCUUCAAGGUCACGUUAUUACCGUUGACACCACUAAAGAACGAGCAGGUGAUUCUACAAAAUCUCCCCCAUAAUCUCAAAUCCCACUCGGCCGUCCAAGCUUUAACCUAUCUGUGUCUAAAACUCUCGGUGGUCCAUUCUGGGCCCUAGCCCUGGUCCCUUCUCCACAUUAAUCUUCUCAUGCUUUUUGGACUAUGCUGAGGGGCCCAACUAGGCCCACUCUGGGCCCAUACCCAAAGUUUCACUCCAGCUAAAACAAUAGUGUUGCUUGUUGGGUAACAGCCCACAAGUGUGCCUCUUGUCUGAAAGUUAGGGAACUCUCCAACCUAACUUCGCUAUUUUUCUGAAAAUAUCAUGAUCAUGUAAUACCCUGCAAAGUUGAUGCCAUCCAACUAGAGGAGGUUGAAGAGGGUCUGUCAAUGGUGGGGAGGGUCCCUAUUUACAGAAGGUCAAUCUGGCUUCAAUGAUCAAUAUGUGUUUUGGAAGGUUUCAUCUAGCUGUAUGUAUGAUAAUGGAAGCUUCAACCUUCAUCAUUGAUCUGCUUUGUCCCCACUUGUUUAGGGUCUGCACAGAUAUCCUCCUCACAAGAAUGUACAUGACAUUUUCACUAACCUUCACCCAAUAAUGCAUUAUGUAUCACAUAGAUGGAACCCGAAAACAUUACCGGACUACAGAUCCGGGAUAGUGUCCCAUCUAAUACAGUAUAGUUUCAUGCAGUCGAUCCAUAUCAUGUAGCAUAUAAAUGAGGGAAGAGAGAUGAAGUGAGAUAUUAACACAGCAGAAAUUGAUUUAAAUUGAUGAUGAACUUUGGAUAACAUGAAAUCCACACUAGCCAAACUGGCCAAUACCCUAUGCAGAUUGGGAUAAACCCAUGUCUGUAGUUUGUAACCAAGAAAAGAAAAUAUGAGAAACAAGAAAAAGAGGAAACAAACAAGAUCACAGAUAGAGUUCACUCCUAGUUGCUGCUUGAUUUCCCACGCAGUUUGUAGCUUUCAACUCCUUUGUUUUUUUACAGGGAUGGAACUGAGGAGCUUCCUAAAGUUGAACCGAGCACAUCAUCAUAGAGGCUUGCCCCAUCCUGACUCUUCUUGUUAUCAGCUCUUGGGCUGCACCCUGAGCUACUGUUUGAAAGUGAACAGAAUGUUGACUUUUGCAGGACACCGGUUGGGGAAGACUCUAACUGGCUGCUGCCGUCCCAGCCUUCAUUCAAGAGGUUUAGUGGUGAUGUGUUUGAUGAUGAGUUCUUGGAGUUCACACAGCUACUGGUGUUGGUUAGGACUUCUCCCAAGGGACCCCCCAUUGAACUUCUCCAAGAGAUAGGUACCCAAUUUGUUUGCUGAUCUGAUGGUUCACAUUGGUCAUUGCUCACCCCCAAAUUUUGUGUUGGCUCGAACUCACGAGAGAGCCUCAGUGGUGAGAGUCCAAGCUUGUCUUGUGUGGGUGAGGAAGAGGAUGAGGAGAAGUCGGAUGCCAUAGGGAUUGCCAUUGAGAGCCGAGUCCAGUCUGAUUUUAUAUCUUCAGGCCAAGUAACAACUGAUUGACUGGACUGGUCCUUGGGCCAAUCAUCGAUGAACUGGUGAAGCAGAUUUUGAUCUUGUGUUUCCUGAUCAGUGAAAUCAAGGAAAGAACCUCCAAAGUCUUUGGGAAUGUAAGAGCUCCUAUGUGAAGGGUUGAGAAGUGAAUCAGUAGAAACAAGGCCAAACUCUGAUUGCGACGAUUCUACCAUGGGGAAAUCUCGUUUUGGGACGCUAAAACAUGAAGCAUUAGAUUCCGGCUUGAUGCUAGAAGCAGACAUCACAGUGAAACCCUGUGGAUCUUGCAUUCUGUGACACAAUUUGCUGCUGAUUAGAAAAUGCCGAAGAAAAGGUAUAACGUAAAGUAAAAUAAUAAAAUAGAAAUAUCAAUAUCAACAUAACAAAUAUGCACACCCUUUUUCAUCACAUAUAGUUUCAACCAUAAAGGUCCAAAAAUCCAAAUUCAAUUAUCUAAACUAGUAAGAGUAGUCACUCUCAUGCACCAAUGUAAAGAAGGAAUUAUGAGGUCUACAAUAAAAGUAAAGGAAAAAGGUGUUGUGCAUAACUAUUUAAAUCAAUGUCAUAUUAAAGCAUAAAAUGCCUAACCAGAACUAAAACAGAUUAAGCACUGGUCCAUAUAAUUUUCACCUGUUGGCAAAGGCAUCAACAGAAGAAUUGGCAGCGGCAGCAUCAGCAGGAGGAGGAGGCUCCAAGCUUUUGAACUGCGGCUGCAGUGUACCACUGACAGACGUUGGCUUUGAUGAGGUUACCGGAGGCGCCACUUCCUUUGAAUUUGCUCUCCUAGAGGCACCAUGGCCUGUCUGGCCUUCCACAGGCUUUCUUGAACGAUGGCGGCCCCUGUUAAUGUGCCUCUCGCAGUACUUCUGGUCUGCUACAGCAUCUCUUGAGCACCGCCACUUCUUCCCAUCCGUUCGACGGCACCUCCCAGGUUCAGGAUCAGUACUGCCAGAAUAUCCUAGAUGGAAAGACCCCCAACUUACUGUAUGAAUAACCACAACAUUGAAGAAAAAGACAAAUCAGAUUAAAGGGGAAACAACAACAUGAUUUCUGAUUCAGAAACAGUAUAACAGCAUAAACGGGAAAUUCCAUGAUCAGAGAAACAAAGCAUCAAAUGUAAAAAAUAUUAAUAUCAAAUUUCAAACACAAUUCAUUUCUAGUCAGGAUGUGAUUUGCAUAGCUUACAUGAGUUGGGGGAGGGACCAGACAAGCCAUAAUGGUAGAGGGACUUCUUGAGAGGAAUGAGCAAAUUGGAUGGCACAGGCGCAUUUGCAUUCAGGUACUUGUAGAUCAAGGCCUGGUGCUCUAGCUCAAUCCACUGUGAGGGAGUAAAUGGUCCUCUAGCCGCUGCAUAAGGCCCAUGCAUGUUUGCAUUUAAGCUUCCAGACCCAAAACCUACAAACAAACCACUUGCUUGAGCAUUUCUGGAAAUAAAUCACAUCAUAUCAAUGUCUUCAAAAAUUGACCAAAACUAGUCUUAUCUGGUACUCCCAAUAUUUUCCCCAUCUGGUUCCAUCAAUCUUUGAGCUGUUGUAGAAAGAUUUUACCAAAAAAGAAGAAAACACCCAAGAGCAGAAAAUGGGCAAGUUUUUUCUUUCUUUCUUGACAAGGCCUCUAAUUUUCAUCUAAAAUUCUAAAUGCCUUUUUGAAAAGACUAUCCAGUCACCAAAAACAUCACUAAAACCAAUCUAUUACCCAAAAAUGGGCCUAAAGAUCUCAUUAAAUCACCAUCAACAUUGACCAACCACCCAAAAAGGCCAAAACACACCCAAACCUCAAAGAAAAAAAAAACAAAAGAGAAAUAAUUAAUCAGUACCUGCAUUUCUAGCAUAGGGAGCAGGCAUGCGCUGGUAGAAUGCAAAAUCUGAGCUUGCUCCUCCAUCUUUGCUCAGAAAAGUGACAUCUGAUUUGUUGGAGGCAAAGCUCAGCAUUUGCUCUUGUCUUGGAGGAGCCAGAGAGCUAGAUCUCAUCAGGAGCUGAGGAGGAGGCUCCUGAGGCAAUGGCAUUGUCCUCGGAGACGACAUGUCGUCGGGUUUGGGGGUCUUGGAGACCCUCCAGGCAUCCUCAACAGGCCAGGAUCUCUGUUGCUUGAAAGACAACCCAGAUCCAUGACCCGGUUUGGUCUCGGGUCCUGAGACAUGAGAAUGAGCUGUUGCUCCUUCUCCGGGUUCAGGACCCAUCAGACAAUCCAUGUCCAUACACACCACCCCAAAAUCCAUUUUGGACACCAGUCUAGAACAGGGUCUCUGAGAAGCAGCAUGACGAGUUCAUUAGCAGCAAAGAAGAAGAAGAACAAGAAGAAGCUUCAAUUGGUUUGGGGAGAGAGAGAAUGAAGAAGCGCAUCUUGGGUGGGUUUGUAAUACUAGUUUUGGGAGCUGAAUAUUUUAAAGGUGUGGUCUUUGAGAAGUAAAAAUAAAUAAUUGGAGAGAGAGAAAGAGAGAGAGUGUGUUAUGGAAGCAGAGGAAGCUUAAGCUUAAGCUUAAGAUGGUGGGGCUUGGAACUUGGAAGUACGAGUACCAAACAUAAACUAAGCUCUGAUAGACAAUGCUUGCUUGAUUGCACAGUUUAUACCUCUAUUUAUAGGAAGAAAUAGGAAGUUUUUGAGCUGCACAAAAAAAUCUAAAUCUGCCAAAUUCAAGAAAACUCUAUCUGGGAUUGAGAAGCAGUGGAUUUUGUAUUUAUUAGCUAUCUAAGGGGAUGCUCAUCAAUCAUAAUGAAUAAAUUUACUAAAACCGCCCUCUUUUUGAGAUUUUUGAAUGCCAACUCAAAUUUAACCAGGAUUUUCCCUGAAUUGUAACUUCUUUUAUAUUUUCUAAAGUGAAAAAUUUUAAAUGGUUGGAUAGUAAUCAUAGUAUAGUCUAAAAUAAUGUACAAUUUGUACUGAGAUAUUCGGUACUCUAGUAAAUAAUGCCCAGAAGAGAUGAACUGCAAAUUAAAUGGGUGAUAAAAUAUUCCCAUAUAACUAUAUAUGAGACAAGAAUCAAACAUGGUAGUAUGGUACGUACUUCAUAUUGGCAAUUAAAGUUGAUAAGUUGAUUGAUACUUCACCAUAGGACUGUUCAUGUGUAUAUGGUACUAAUAGAAAGAUGACCUCCUUUCUGUGUUUGUUUUUGGGCAACAGUUGCAUUUCCAAAGUCCAAUAGCAUGUCCCCUAUAACAAACUUAUGUAGCAAUCAAAUUAAAAUGUGUUGCAGACUUGCAGUUCAUUUAUUCACCAACUCUCAGACAUGGAGAUAAAAUAUGGGCAGGUACCAAUAUUGGAAAACAUUUACAUAUGUGAGUUUGAGUAUAUUUCUAGGAACACAUCAUUAUCGCAACCAAAAAAAUAUUUAAAAGGAGCACACAAAUAAAAUAAAAAAAUUGGCACGCAUAAAUGGAAAAUAUUUAAUUGAAUUGUAGCCUUGACGAAAUCCGGUUGUGAAUUUUGUAGUGACUUUAAGCUAUCAAACAUUAUACUGAACGACAUUGUAAUAAAUAAAUAAAUAAAUCGCAGUUUGUACAUUUUCACCUACGUAUGCAAUGGUCACUAUAUCACUAUAUCUACACGUGGUGUUUUGUCGUUAUGAAAUUAGACGUUCAAUUAUGACUUGUCUAUUGUACCGGACGGUAUGACAUACAUAUACUGAUAUAAAUAAAAGCAUGUGCUUUGCACAAGGCAAUUGGGUGUUUUGUUUUGAAAAAUUUUGCCUUCAAAGAAUGCUGUGCUGCAUAGCAUGUCGUCCGGUAUAAUAGAAUUUUCCGUUUAAUUAUGGUAGUUAGAUACUAUAUCCAUACCAUAUCACGACAACAAUACACUCUCAUACCUACAUAAAUGUUUUUACAAACAUUAAUUGAAACGGUUCUGCAAGAUUUCGUGAUAGGUACAGUUAAAUGUCAACAUGCGCAUACAAGUAUAUCCAAUGAUAAUAUAGAUAUGACUCAUAUGAGUACCGCUCCAUGCAGUAGCCUGUUAUUGUAUGAUCGUCUAAUAUGUGUUCUUUCUUACUUUUUUGAACAAUGGCAAUUGGCGUGCAUAUCUAACAAAUGCACAUCAAGAUACUUGGCCAUCAAGAAUAUAUAAAUUGAUAUUUAACUUCAAUUAGCGUCGGCAAGAUUCGAAACUAGGUAUGACAAUUUCACACUUAGGCUCCUACCAACUCGACCACAUGUGGUGAUUAUUUUAUGUGUUAGUUACUAUAAGUAAAAUAACAGCUUCUUAUAUAUUCAAAAGAAAAUAUAAAUAAUCUUUUUUUUUACCCUGAUCCUUGCAACACGGCUAACACCAAUCCUAAGACGGCGCUGAUCUUGCUAAUUGAUGGGCUAUGUGAUUAAAGCGCUUCUUCAUAUCCUUCCAACAAACCACCUCAAACUCAUUAAAAUCCUCACUGCAUCUAGAACUCCUCCAAUUCCGCUUAAAUCAACCCUUAACCCGUUUAAUACGUUAAGUUAUAAUUGAAACUUUAAGUUGGGAAAAAGAGGAAAAUAUUAUCUUGUGAUUAGCAGGAUCAUUACCUAAGAAUAAACUACCCUAAAAGUACAAGUUAAAGGGAAACAAGUGGGUAUUUCCGUUAAUCAUCAUGCAAAUCUCAACUAAUAUGACAAAUCAGUUCUUAAGUAUUUAUAAAAGUAGCUUUCACUUCAUUUCACCAUCUAAUGUUGUUAAGAACAAAAUAUUGUCCUAUGAAAAGGACUCACCCUCUCUUCUAGUCUCUUUAUUUACUAUAAAAAUCUCAAUCGUAAUUACGUAUCUAAAUAUGACAUCAUUUAUUUAUGUUUCAUUUUUAUAUUCUAAUCCAUUUAUUUAAAUUCACAACUAUUAAGAUUUAAGAGCAAAAAUAAAAGAAAAUUCACAACUAUUUACCUAUGUUUUUUGUCCAAAUCAUUCUCAAAAAAAAAAAAUUGUUUUUUUGUCAAAUAACUUCUUUUGUUUAUUUGAACCGACCUUUGUAAAAUAUCUCAAACCGAAAAUUCUAGAAGGGCAUUCAUGUCACUUCAAAAUAAUUGUUGGAACCCACGGAUGACGUCAAGCUUUCUGUCGUUCUUGGAGGUGCUUCCGAUCGAGGGUAUUUUGGGGUAUUAUAAAUCCGCUAGCGGUUUAACACGUCAUGUUGGGACCUAUCCGCCACGGAGGGUGUCGGGCGGCCGCACGUAGACGACAGCUUUGCCCCCCCCCCCCCCCCCGUCUCACAUUCACUCCUCCAUCCUAGCUUUGUAUUGAGUUCAUGUUCUAGCUUUUUCAAGAAGUUGUUUCAUGUGCGUCUAAAAAUUUGGAUAUUACUCACCCAUGGCACUCGUUUGGUUAGUUUGUUUGGUAGUAACAGAUCUUAAAUCUUAACUCGGAUUAUUGUCUAUAUACACAUGAAUGACUAUAAAUUAUUGAGAUGAAGUGUGUUUAACAACAUGAACCUAACAAGUAACUUCUAACUCGUUGAACAAUACAUGUGAACGACUAUAAGCUAUUUCAACGACCUUCAACGACCUUUUGAGGCUAACCAACAUCUUUGUGAACACUAUGAUAAAAAAAACCUUCAAACUUCAGAUAUCCUUUAACUGUAAUCUUAAGUGGCUAGCUAGGUAAAAUGGCUCUCCCACGAUGGUGAUGUAUUCAUGGAUGGGUUUGAAUGCCAGCUCCGGCUUUUGGUCAUGUUCUCUUGUCCAAGUUUAAUCCCCUUUGGAGUUCCUAUCCAAAUGAAAGAAAUAGCUUCGAGGUAGGAAAUUGCAUGCAGUUCUUGAGGUCAUCCUCACUAACUUAUAAGACACUGUUUUGUUUGCUUUGUACGACUCACCGGAAACGAAGCUAAACUGAAACCAAAGCAAAACCGAAACCCCGCAAAUGCCCAAAGUAUAUAUGCCAUAGUUUUGGCAUCUACUAUACUAUACGUACUUCAUUAGCUUCUGUGUUAGCUAGCUAGUGAUUUUCACGAUGAACUCGAACAAACAAACAAACAAAAAAAAAGAAGCCUUUGCGAGUAUCACGCCCCCAGAAACCAAAUCAGAGUUACGUUAUUGUUUGGCUUCUGGCAUUUCUGUUUUGGUGUACAGAUGGUGUACAUGCAACAUAAUAGAACCAAACUUUGUGGUUAGCAUCUUCAAUGCGGAAGUAAUUCAUUCAAACCCAGAUUAAUUAGAUACAGACAAUGUGAAUGUCUAGAUUGGUUUGUGUUAAAGCCAAGUAGGUGAAAUAAUUCAUUUUGGGAGGCUCAGCUAAGCAUAUAGGGAUGUAGGUUGCUUGUAAAAAGUGAUUGCUUAGAUGAAUAUAUAGGGAGACAGAUACAUGUAGCUGUUUAUAUGUUUAGGGAUAUAUCUAUAUAUGUUUUGAUCUCCAAGCUAUUCCAUGGUCAGUUUGUCCUAAAGCAUGCAUGUGUAGAUUAAUAGGUGUUUGAUGGAACAUAAUAAUUUUAAGCAUGUGGCCUAGUUAGGUCUAAACUCUAAACAAUGGGUUUUCUCUACCUAGCUAAUUGCAUGAUUGACUAGUCCUGUAAGCCUAAUAGGGUUGAUAUGUCAUUACUAGAUUUGACUCAUAUGCACAACGGUGGAUUAAAAAUUAACUCUUCCUCCUAACUAUCAAAGCACAAGGUACUGUGUUCACCAAUAAAAAUGUUAAUUUGACUUGACGUGGGUCUUAAACUCUCAAUAGUCAUAGUAUAUCCCCUGUUUAUGAAUGGUAAGCAGGUUGAUUAUGUCUUCUUUUCAAUCUUUUCGUCUAGGCUAGGGGAAGACGUUGACAAUGUAGAAAAACUUGAUUUCUCUUAUGAUACAUUUCUCAUUGACAGUGUAAAAUUAAACUUCAAGGUAAGUCUUGUCAAUUUCAUUACAUCUAAUUUAGCUAAGUUUAAUUUACAUUCAAGUAUUUAUUUUGCUAUCUCCGAAUCAAAUCAUUUUCAAAAUAAAAAAAUCAAAUCUAUUCUAUCUUGCAUAUAAUCAUCAUAAACUUUGGUUUACCUGUGAGUCUUUGUUUGUGACCAUUUGCACAUUUAUCUAGCUAGAAUGAGUUUUUCAAUCCCUUAGGCAUGACAUUCCUCACUCAUAAUCCCUUACUAUAUAACUUGUCUACUACACUUGUCGGUGGUCAGUGGUGAGUUGCGUCGUGGCUUGCUAUUGUGGUGGUUGGGGAAAUCUAUCACGGUGAAGGCCUGUCUCGGUCUCGUUCUCGAUUGAUUCGUUUGGCUUAGGUGUUCUCGAGUGUGAAAGUUGGAGAUCAGCGAUGGGAUUGAGGAGAAGAGAGCUUGGGUGGUGAUGCAUCAUUUCUAUCUUCUUCGCAGCAUAUUCGUUGCUUAUUUCAACAGGCUCCUUGUUGCCUGUCGGGCUUGUUAGUCGGACGUCAGUUGAUCAUCAGUGUUUGAAAAGAGUAACAAUGAUGGAGAGAAGAGUUAGAUGCUAGAUAUCUAGUCGGCGGUGCAAAUGCUAUGGUAGAAGGAUUCUGCCUGCUUUCUUCAGGUUUGGGCUUCUGUUGGGCCUAGGCUUGGGGUCUUGGGCUCGAUGUUGUGGGCCCAAUAUAGAGUCUUUUCCGCCACCCUCUAUGUCAUUUAUCACUUAAUACUUUAAUAGUGAAGGUGGGCCAGACCUAAGCGAUGGUUCUAACUUCUAGCUAUGAAGACAAAGCUCUUGAUUCCUGGGACGACUAGUCUGAAAGCAACAUAAAAUCUCUUGAUUAUAAUUAACAAGAAAUUCUUCCCGCCACACAAAGAAGCGGUUGCACCUUUAUACUUCCUACUCGAUCUCAGCUUCUUCCAAGGGGGUGAUUCUCAAAGCCAUGGCCCUAAUCUCCACACAAACCCUGACCCUGAAAUCCCCUCCUACCCUUUCUCUUCCUUCUCAUCCAUCUUCCCAAUCUCUCUCACUCUCACCAUCCAGUCCUCACUCUCUCUACGCCCCAAAACCAACAGCUCGGUUUGGCGCUAGACGACUCGUCGUUUCCAGAGCCACCACAUCCUCUGCUUUGGAUUUCAGCCCCAGCAUAGGUGAGGUCCUCGGUGAAGUCGGUAUCUUCACCGCUGCUGGUGAUUCCGUCCUGUUCAACGAUCUAUUGGAUCACAACGAGGUCUAUCACUGUAAAACUCUAUAAUUUACUAUCCUUUUCUUUUCAAAUUCUCUGCAAUUUUGAUUCUUUGUGAAGUAAAGAAAGCUAUAGUCUAUGAUUAUAUGAAACUUGCUUUGAUACAUUUUCCGCCAAGAUAGUGUUAUGUACACUAAAAUGUGAGCCAUAACAAUGAAAAAUUGUAUAUUUGCUUGAAUGUGUGGUGGGUUACUUUUGAAAUAGUUUCUUGACGCAUUUUGUUACAGGGAAUAGUUGUUGUUGCGCUAUUGAGGCACUUUGGAUGCGUUUGCUGGUAAAGUAUCUUCUUAACUAGUAAUGUUGGAUGGGUUUUACAUGAGUCUUUGGAGAUUGUUAUGACUAGUUUCUUCGUGUGUGUUCUUUUAGUUGGGAACUUGCUUCAGCUCUAAAAGAAGCAAAAGCUAGAUUUGACUCGGCUGGUGUGAAACUAAUUGCGGUCGGUGUUGGUACUCCUGAUAAAGCUCGUAUCCUUGCAGAACGGGUACUUUUACAUUCCUUUUCGUGCAAUAUUUCUGAAGUUGCAUUUUUGGAAGUAUAUUUGAUCCUAGAAUCUUUUAGGUGCAUAUAUCUAUAGAGUGCUUGUUAAGUAUCAAGCUCAGUUAUUUUGUUCAGAUAAUGGGAAUUGUUUUAAACAAUAAUUUGGGUGUAAUGGAUGCCUGUCAGGAAGGCAUGCUAGCGGACAUGCAUCAAACACAUGUUAGAUUAAAUUAUAGCUGCUAAUUUUGUUGUAUAAUCGUCAUACUUUAUCACUGAAACAUGAACAUUUUGUUAUUAGUUGGUGAUCAUGUGUGUUAUGUUAUGCACUUAUGUGUGUUUCUGACCAUCAAAAGAAAAGCCUUUUCUGAUAUUAUGGUUGUUCAAACCUGUUCAGGAAACUGAAUCUUUGUAGAUGCAGCUAUGCAUUUGUCUGCUAUACACUGGAUUAGAAAGAUAAAAACGAUAAUUUCUUCGACUUUCUUGGUCACAAUGUGUGCAGUCACAUAUGUACGGCCGGGCACUCUCAUGUCAUGUGACUUGUUUAUCUAAGGAAUAGUUCAGUUGAUGAAUAACACGAAUGAUUUAAUCACUUUACUUUUCUUCGUCUAUUUCAAAUGUUCAAAAUUUUUAGUCUCCAAAAUAAGCUGUCAUUUGACAUGAUAAUGGUUUUGAUACUUGGUUAUAUGCUUUCUAACUGCAGGAUGACAUUUCCAGCUACUAAUAGCAAAUACAUUGUCUACCGGGACAAGUUUUCUUGUGUCGUGAUCAUUUUAAGUACUAAAUACUAUGAGUCCCAUGGGACCAUAUCAAGUACUGUGGUUUGACUUAAGUAUCUUAUUGACAUUUCCUUUCUGAGAAACUUCGGCUGGAUUAUAGCAGAAUAUGAGAUCAUGCUGUUUGUGCUCUUUAAAGAAAGUGGUUCAAACACUUAAUAACCUCUGAAUAAUAGAAAUUUCCUAAUGAGUUUUCAACAUCCAAAGUCGUUUUUGCAGUUUCCUAGUUAUAUAUUUGUGUCUUUAUACCAUGGACUUCUUAUUGAUUCUUGGAGCUCUUAUUAUUUUCCCUGUGAUGUUCUCUCAAUCCAGCUGCCCUUUCCCAUGGAUUCCCUUUAUGCUGAUCCUGAUCGUAAGGUACUAAUAUCUGCUACAUUACAUAAUACAAUUCGUGAGUAUUCUAUUCUGGCGAGUGGUGAUUGUGACUCUGAUUUGACACUUUUAUGACAGGCAUAUGAUGUUUUGGGCUUAUAUUUUGGAUUGGGUCGAACAUUCUUCAAUCCAGCUAGUGUAAGCUCUUAUGUUGCAUUCCUGCUCUCUGCUGUAUCUUUCGGAUAUAAUUACUAUUUCUAUUUAUGGUGUUUCGAUGCCUCUGUGUGAAAUUCUGAUAUAAUAGGCAAAGGUGUUCUCAAGAUUUGAGGCGCUGCAGAAAGCUCUAACGAACUAUACGAUUAAAGCCACUCCAGAUGAUAUAAAUAGUGUGUUACAACAGGUUUGAUCUCUAAUAUGUCUCCAGUAUUUGUGGAGUUGGAUUAGAUGUACAUGCAUCCUGGUUAUGGAUUUAGUUAAACUUUUCUGAAAUGAUCUUGUCCUCAAUUUUAUCAUAAUCAGGGAGGGAUGUUUGUCUUCAAAGGGAAGCAGUUAUUGUAUGCUCGGAAAGACGAAGGGACAGGUGAUCAUGCCCCAUUAGAUGAUAUCUUUGAUGUUUGCUGCAAAGUUCCUGUAUCUUGAAACUGUACCAUCUAUAGAUUUUUCAGGGGUUUGAUACUGAAAUUUGACCCAACCUUUCAUUAGUGGUAAGAAAUCCUAUACGUGUAGCUAAUCUUCAAUAUAUAUUUGAAUGUCUAUACAGCAUCUUCAUUUAUCUGCAUUGGCAAGCAUAUUUGAACAUAUAUAUUUUAUCAUAUAUCAGUAACAUGAUGUUUUGUACAUUUUGAGUAAAUAAUAGAAGUAUAUAGCUGAGUUUACCGAUUUCUACCCUAGAAGUGUACUAUUGUGGUUUCCCUUCUCCUAAGGACCCUCCUUGUUGAAGUUUAUCAUUCACCUAUAUGUGCUCCCGUUAUCCUAACAAUGUUUACUGAACAAACUUGAAUUUUGCUGAUAGAACUUUGUUUUAACUGUGUUUUUGAAUUGAGUAGGAUGAUAAUAUGAAACUUUUGUUAACGUAUGAGGUGUUACCAGCAAAUAAGAAUCUGUGUAUUCUUCGGAGGAAUUAUUGCUUACCAAAUCAAAGGAAUAUUAUGAACCAGAGAUGAAGGAUUGCAUUUAAGAUUGCUUACCAAACAGGGAAAUGUUAUAUACCAAAACAAGCAAUUUUAAUUAAGACUACAUAGCAAAACCAGAUUUUGCCAAAAUUACUUACCGAAAGAGAUUGUAUUUCAAUAAAACCAUAUGUUUUUGGUUUUUUUUUCGUUCGUUAUUAUGUGUUUUUGCUUAAAAAAGAAAAAUCAAUCUUUAAUUUAUUCAAUAUAUAUAUAUAUAUAUAUAAUCAAAUCUUAAUUAAAUUUUUUUAAAUUUUUUAUUAGAUAACUCACACAUCGACACAUAUGUCAGUAAAGUUUGAAUUGAUGACUUCAACGUUGUUAGUUAAGCGACCUAAACUUAAAAAAUCAAAUCUUAGAUACAUGAACUCAUCAAUAUUAUUAGCUAGCAAAAAGGGCAUACGCUAGUCUUCCGUUGAGCCGGUUCGUAGUGCUAUAUCAAUGCAUCAUAUCAUUUAAGGGUGGGCAUUUGACUAAAAAAAAUGCAGUAUUGCACUGUUUUGCAUUGAAAGAGGCGGUUAGGAAAUCGCAUCGGACAAACGGUGCAAAUUAGGGUCUAAAAACACCAACCUGCAUGAAAGUUGACUAGAUCUGAGAUCAAGUCCUAACCCACCCAAUUUAACCCCAUCCAACAUAGUUUUUAGAUUUAUUUAUUUUUAUGGUGGUGCUAUUAACACACCAAUUUUUGUUGUUAACACAUCCGUUUUAUGAUGAGAGUCAAUCAUGAAACAAAUUCAAGAAGUAAGUUUGUAAAUAAAAUUGAGCUGUGUGGAUAGAAAACAAAUAAGGUGCGUUAAUAGCAAAGAAGAAAUGUGUUAAUAACAUCACCCUAAUUUUAUCAUUAUUUUAAUAUAUCUCUUUUUUUGUUUAGCAUUUUAUUGUAUCAUUACCAGAAACUAAGUGAAAACAUGCAUAUAGUAUCAUGUUGCUUAGCGCUUGAGUGAGGAACAUGUAUGCACACCUGCGAAAACUUAGCAUUAUGUUACUUUCACUUAGCUGGGCAGCUAGCUGUUGUUAUGUAUCUUGUUGGGUGAGUUAAAAUCAAAAUGACCCUAGAGUUAUUAAUAGCUGUUCCUAUUAAUAAGCCCGGUGUGCUAUUGUUGUUAAGAGUUAAGACCGAAGGUGCAAAGUUGAGAAAGAUAGAAACACGAGUUAUGACUAGCAUAUGUUAGAAAUUUAAUAGUCUGGUGUCACUGAUAUUUGAAUCCAUGACCUACAUAGUGUGGUUAGGCAAGGAAACCAACAAGUCAAGGCUCACCUACACGAGUAACUACUACGAGAGAAAAAAAUGACAAUAACCAUUGUAAAGUUAACGGGGAUGUACGUAUAGAAAUAAAUGAUCUAAUUUGAAAAUCAGAGUUUAACUAUCGUGUUUAAAUGUUUACCUAAGUCUAUACUAAACGUGACUGUCAUAUUUAAUGAACUUAACAAUAAACGUACGAACUAUGUUAGUGGUUAAGGACCUCGGAUGCAAGUUUCACUACACGGCACGUAACUAACGUCGAAUAUUUAUAUUGAAUAGUAAACGUUCCGCUAUAGUAAAUCUCUUUUAAGUUAACACAUAUUUUAAUAUAAUUUUAUGAGUUACAGUCAUUCAUCUAUACGUGAUACAUCAAUGAACAUUAUCAGAUUUUUAAGAAAUGGUAAACCAAAAUAGAAAUAUAUAUAUAUUUUUUUGUGGUUAUAGUUUCUUGAUUACUUUGUGUGGUUGUAAUUGAAAAGAAGCCUGAAAUAACAUUUCCAAAAACAUAAAGAUGUGAAAUGCCAUGGAGUGUUGGGAAAAAUUGUGGGAGUAUCUAUAUCACUUCACCUCCUAUAUAAUCUCACUCGUUCCAUCAACAUAAACACACAAAACAAAACAACAAGAAAGAGGAGGCGUCUCAAAGCUCAGAGCUAGCCCUCAUCAUAUCUCUAUUACUGCUGCUACAAAUCCCUCAUUGCUUUUAGUCUAGAACAUAGAUCUCCUACAGCUUUAUAAACAAUCACCAUCUACAUGGUGAUAAUUCCUCAUGGUCUUCAAUACAGAACUACAGAUCAAAACGUCACUGACCUAUCCUUUCAUAUAUGAGUUAUGGUAUGAUCCUCUUCUGCUUGUAUAUAUAUCCUUGUUGUCGUACAUGCCUUGCAUCCAAUGAUCCAAUUGUCAUGCAUCCCAUUGUUUUUAUGUUUGUGACUUGAGUUGUUUUUGGUCAAGUAUGUUGUAUGUGUAGAAUCGUCUUUCUGCUAUUCAAUUCGCUCAGUUUGCUCAUUUAUGUUCUAUGCAUAUCAGGAUCGAUAGAAGAAGUACACCCAAGCUGGGUCAGUUCCAGCGGAGAUCGACGAUUUGGCCUGGUACUCGAUCGUUUGAGGAUGAAGUAGCUGGGCUAGAAUCUUCUUGUCUUACCGGAGAACUUGACCUUCACUGACCCCAUCUCUCCGUUUGACCUGUACUGGCAGAGCGCCUGAGGGUAUUAGUUUGUGAUAAUAAUUCUGGUACUUUAUAUCGAUUAUCAAUUCAUACUGCAUUUCCUGUUGAUGGGUUUAAUUUAUUUUUCUCAAGAAUAGAUUGACGUGGAAAUGAUGACAAUUAAAGAAAAAAGAUGUGAGCACAAGGAUUCAAAAGAAUUUGUGAAAGCUGUUUGCAUUGUAGAAGAGACGUCUUCAACACAACAUGCAUCUAUCUUUCAUAGAUCCUUCAGUUCAAUCCUUGAGGAACAUAAGUUGUCACGAGGCAGAUGCUCCCUCUCCAAACGCUUACCUGGCUUCUUCAACAAGGCCAGUGAACUUCUAGAAAAAUAUUUUCUAUCCAGAUUUUUCACCAUAUCUCUAAUACCAUGUUGUACUCGAUCAUUAUUGAUAGGGAUAAUAGAAAUAUCUUCCAUCAUAUAAAAAGAUUUUCGUUUAUUUGUGUUAGAAUUUGAUUUGUAUGGGUUGAAUGGUGUGAUGGUGCAAGUGACGGCCAAGUACUCGAGCGAGAGGAGGAGCUUCUAACCUUGCCCUUCUUCCUUAGACGCGCGAGUACUCGUCAAAAUCUUCAGUUCUCUUUGUAACUGACGCAACUGAACGUAUGUUGGUCUUUAUCAAAUGUGAAUGUUCCAGUUUUGGUUUAGUUAGGAAAGUGAUUUUCAUGGAUUUUGUAUUGAAUAGUAUUAUAGUAUGAUAUGAUGUACAAUGUAACCGGGGUGAGAGAAUAAUAAAACUUGUUAUUUGGUUUCGAUUCUUUUAAUUGCUAUUCAUAUAAUUUUUAAAACUCUAAAUGAUUAUAGAAAAAUAUAUAACCAAACGUUACGUCUUAUACCUCAUAUCUAAAAACCGAAAAAAAAAUUUUUAAUCUAUGAAGUAGGUACACUUCAUGUUGAAAAACCGAAACUAUAGUCUAUACUUCAUCGUAGUUACAGGAUACGAGACAAUCAUGAUAUACAUCUCAUUUGCCUAUUUCAAAAUACCAUUUCCCAAUUUUCUCAUUGAAAAUUUGAAAUCCAAGCUAAUCUAUGAUUUAUUAUUAACCAGAAACGUUGUCCCUUCUCUCCAUAAGAGUUAGGGUUUCGCUCCUCUAUUCUCAUAGAAGAGUGACGGCUGUCUAGCCAUUCUCAUUGUAUGUUUAGUUUGAUCUCAAGUAUCACUCAAGUUUAUACCGUAGUCGCUCAGUCUCUGUGCGAUAUGGAGGAUGUUGUUGGAAAAUUUGCGAAGAGAUUGGCCAUCAGUGAAACGGAAGUGGAGGUGGUCAUGCCACCAGAGGAUCUGAAGGAGGGUUCUCGAAGAUGGUUCAUGGUUGGUGAACUCUUCACUCAUAAAAGUUUCAAGUUGGAGUUCCUCGCAAACACAAUGAAAAAUUUGUGGAUCCCUAAGGAUGAGCCCCCAGAUCGGAAUAGGAUUACGGUGAGCCGGGUAGGAGAGUAUGGACGAAUUCUGUUCACGUUCAAAAAUGAGGCAGAUCUGAAGAGAGCAAAAAGAGGUUGUCCGUGGACUUUUGACAAGGCGUUAUUGGCGCUAGCUGUGACUACUGGUGAGGAGAACCAGGAUGAGAUUGAUCUGAGUAUUCAGUGCUUUUGGAUCCGGAUUAGAGGGCUGCCGCCGGCGUAUUUACGAGAUGGGGCUGUCGAAAACACUGGACGUUGCAUAGGUCAAGCAAUUGGAGUUUUUGCGCAGGCGGCCCGGGGUAGUAGUAACCCGUGUUUGGGAGAGUUUUUGAGAGUGAGGGUGGGUAUAGAUCUCAGUAAGCCUUUGAGGAAGUGGGUGAGUUUCCGACCAUCGGGGUGGUCGGAAAGUGGCCGUUUUGAGCUUGAAUAUGAACGCCUUCCUCACUUCUGUUUUUUCUGUGGAUUGAUGGGGCAUACAGGUGGAAAGUGUCCGAGAAGAGAAGCAGGGGUACUAACUGCCCCGUCUUAUGAUAAUCUAAUUCAUGUAGACAGGAAGGAGGAAUGGCUGCUUAACAAGAUGCGAAGCAGGGAAAGGGAGAAAGAGCAGGUGUCUACGGCUGGGGCUUGGCGCUUUGGCCUAUACCCAAAAAAGAAAACAGGAUGGGUGAUGACAGCGCCGGAGUUACAGUCAGUAGGUUUUGUCAGGACUCGAUCGGAAUUAGAGAUGGAAGGGGGAAUUCGGAGAAGGGAGGAUGACAUGGAAGUGGAUAGCAGCUCGGAGAUGGGGGAGCGAGAUGGGCGCGGCGGUAAGAGACGGAGAUUUGGGACCAACGGCGGAGCCCAGCCGCCGAAGAUGGAUGUGGUAGUGGAUGGAGUUACGCAUGCGGAAUCUUCUACGUUGAUUACUUUCCAAUCUCAGGGAGAAAAAUCAGGACUAGAGCGUAGUCCAUGUGUGUUGGAAAAGGUAGGAGAGGAUGGGGAUUUGGAUCUCAUUGGGUCUCGAGGUGAGACCAAAAAGAAGGAAGUUUCGAGAGUAAUUCUUAAGGAAAGUGGUCGCUCAAAUCUCGGAGAGUCUGAUAUGAUAGUUGCUGGCGUGACUAGUGGAGGAGUUGAUGGCGAGAAUCACCUAGUUUUAGGGUCGGACACUGGAAUCAAGGAUUUGGGACGGAUUUUCAGAGAAAGUUUCAAAGCAGAUAUGGCGGGGAAUAUUUUUCAACUCAAGAUGAAUUCUACGAAUGGGCUGAGUCUUAAUUCCCUACUAGAAGGCCAGGCCCAAGCAGCUGGGGCCCAAGAAAGUAAAAAUAAUUCUGAGAAACAGAUUCCACAGAGGAGUGGUAUUGUCGCAAACAGAGAGGAGGGCGAGGGGACGAAGAUGAGUCUUAACAACAGCUCAAGGUGUGCUCAACAUCUCUCCGUGAUGGGUCCGGAUUUGACCCAUCACGAGAAAUGAAUGCUUUGUGCUGGAACUGCCAAGGGAUUGGGAACUCUUGGACAGUUGACGCGCUCAAAGGGUUGGUAACCCUAAACUUUCCCAAACUGGUUUUCUUAUCUGAAACAAGAUGUAUUGUAGCAGAGAUGAAUGAUGUUCGAAGAAAGAUUGGGUGGAGAAACGCGUUUACAGUCAAUUAUAAAGUUGUGCGACAAAAGCAUGGAAAGCGAGUCAGCCGAGCAGGAGGUCUCUGCAUUUUGUGGAAUGAUGAUAUCAAGUUGGAGUUGCAGUCUUAUAGUGAGAGUCAUAUUGAUGUGCUAGUCAGAGAAGNNNNNNNNNNNNNNNNNNNNNNNNNNNNNNNNNNNNNNNNNNNNNNNNNNNNNNNNNNNNNNNNNNNNNNNNNNNNNNNNNNNNNNNNNNNNNNNNNNNNNNNNNNNNNNNNNNNNNNNNNNNNNNNNNNNNNNNNNNNNNNNNNNNNNNNNNNNNNNNNNNNNNNNNNNNNNNNNNNNNNNNNNNNNNNNNNNNNNNNNNNNNNNNNNNNNNNNNNNNNNNNNNNNNNNNNNNNNNNNNNNNNNNNNNNNNNNNNNNNNNNNNNNNNNNNNNNNNNNNNNNNNNNNNNNNNNNNNNNNNNNNNNNNNNNNNNNNNNNNNNNNNNNNNNNNNNNNNNNNNNNNNNNNNNNNNNNNNNNNNNNNNNNNNNNNNNNNNNNNNNNNNNNNNNNNNNNNNNNNNNNNNNNNNNNNNNNNNNNNNNNNNNNNNNNNNNNNNNNNNNNNNCUUCCUAGUGAGUCUGAUCAUCUGCCAAUUUUGAUACAGAUACGAAGGAGCAGUGGCAGACGUAAGAAAAGAAAAGGAAAAGAAAUUUCGUUUUGAGGAGUUUUUGGCUUCGGGAAAAAGAUGUGAAAGAUGUUGUUGAAGCUGGUUGGCUAAGUGGCACGGGGUCUAACCCAUUUUCUUCAGUGUACAACAAGAUUUCAAAUACAAGAGAGAUGUUGUUGAGUUGGAGUAGGACUCGUUUUGGGAAUAUCCAAGAGAUGAUAAAGGCAGUUAGAGAAAAGCUUGCAGAGUCCUAUGAUACAACUUUCUCUUCUCCUUGUUCAAUGCAGCGGAUGGGUUUAGAAAAAGAGCUACAAGAUCUUCUCCAUAAAAAGCAGACUUUCUGGCAACAACGUUCAAGGGUGCUGUGGCUAGCAGAGGGUGAUCUCAACACAAAAUUUUUUCAUCAGAGGGCUUCGAACAGGAAAAAGAAAAAUACCCUAAAAGGCUUAUUUAAUGAAGAUGGGGUGUGGUGUAAUGAUGAGUGCGAAAUGGAGGAGAUUAUUCUGAGAUAUUACAAGAAGUUGUUCACAUCAUCCAACCCUCAACUGCGAGAGCAAGACCUGAGUUUUGUAACCGAGGUUAUCUCUGAGGAUGCUAACAGGCGGUUGAAUGGCACCAUCUCGGAAGAGGAGGUAUUCAAAGCGUUAAAACAGAUGCAUCAAAUAAGGCUCCUGGCCCAGAUGGUUUUUCCCCAGUAUUUUAUCAACAGUUUUGGAAUGUGGUGGGCACUGACGUGGUUGCAGCAGUGAGGGAGUUCUUAAACUCCAAGGAACUUCUCCGAGAAAUAAAUUGUACGUGGGUUACACUAAUUCCGAAGGUUAAGUCUCCGGAGUAUGUCACUCAACUCAGACCUAUCUCGUUGUGUAAUGUUAUCUACAAGCUUGGCUCUAAGGUUUUAGCUAAUAGGAUCAAGCCUUUAUUGGACGAUAUCAUUUCACAGCAGCAAAGUGCUUUUGUACCGGGCCGUCUCAUCUCAGAUAACUCUCUUCUUGCUUUUGAAGUUUCUCAUUGCCUUAAAUGUCGUCGGAGUGGUAAGGUGGGUCUUUGUGCUUUGAAGUUAGACAUGAGUAAAGCUUAUGAUAGAGUAGAGUGGUGUUUCUUGGAGAAGGUUCUUGGCAAGCUGGGUUUUGGUGACACGUUUGUGAGGUGGAUAAUGCAUUGUAUAACAACAGUUUCUUAUUCAUUUCUUGUCAAUGGAGAACCAUGUGGUAAGCUGAUUCCAACCAGAGGAUUACGGCAGGGUGAUGCAAUCUCUCCUUAUUUGUUUCUCCUAUGUGCGGAAGUUCUCUCCAGAAUGAUUAAGCAAGCUGAGACAAAUGGUGAGAUACAAGGGGUCAAAGUAUGCACGGAUGCUCCAUCAAUUAGUCAUCUUUACUUUGCCGAUGACUCUUUCAUUUUUUCAAGGGCGGAGGAGAGAGAUAUGCUGUGCAUGAAAGAUAUUUUUGUGACAUAUGAGACGAUGUCGGGUCAACAGAUCAACUAUGAGAAGAGCAGUGUUUCAUUUAGUAGAAACGUGCCUUUGUGGAAACAACAUGAUUUGGCAGCCGUGUUAGGGGUGCAAAGAGUAGAGAACCAUGAAAAGUAUCUCGGUCUCCCUACCGAGCUCAGCUACUCUAAAGACGAAGCUUUCCGGUAUUUGAUCGAUAGGGUAAGGAAACGUACUCAAGGUUGGAGAGACAAAACUCUUAGUGGGGUGGGUAAGGAGGUGUUGUUAAAAGCUGUUAUCCAAUCUAUCCCUACUUAUGUUAUGAGUUGUUUCGAGUUGCCUAGACAUCUCUGCAACGAAAUGCACCAACUGAUGGCAAGGUUUUGGUGGGGUGAGUUUGGGGACGAGAGGAAGAUACACUGGAUAGCUUGGGAUAAACUGUGUAGCUCUAAAAAGGAGGGUGGGCUUGGUUUCAGGGAUAUGCAUGUUUUUAAUAAAGCCCUCCUAGCAAAGCAAGGAUGGAGGAUGCUCUGUAGGCCUCAAUCUCUGCUCGCGCAGGUAUUAAAAAUGAAAUAUUUUCCUACUUCAAGUCUGAUCCAAGCUGAGGUGGGUAAAAGAAUCUCCUAUUCUUGGAGGAGCUUAAUGAGAGGAAAAGAAUUGUUGCAGCAGGGGUUGCGAUUCCAAGUAGGGAAUGGGGAGAAUAUUCAUUUAUGGGAUGACCCCUGGUUACCACUCCCUUACACAUUUAAACCCUUCUCUCUGCCAAUGCAUGGCUCUGAAGGAAUGAGGGUUUGUGAGUUAAUUGAGGAAGGCACUGGUGGAUGGAAUGAAUGGUUACUAGAGGAGCUUUUUACUCCAAUGGAGAGUGAGAUCAUUUUAAAAAUUCCACUGAGCCUAAAUGGGGGUGAGGAUCGUUUGGUAUGGCACUUCGACAACAAAGGCUGUUAUAAUGUGAAGAGUGGGUAUUUUGUGGGACGUUUGUUGGAUGGUUUGAAUCGGAAAGCUUCGGGUUCCGACUCAGAUGUGCAAUGGUCGAGACUAUGGUGUAAGCUGUGGCGUACUCAAGUACCUCCUAAGGUGCGUAUGCAUGCUUGGCGUUUGGUAAAGGGAACAUUACCCUCUCGGGCUGCCUUGGUGAAAAAACAGGUUCAGCUCCCAGACGUCAACUGUGUGUUUUGCUCGACGAAUGUGGAAGAUAGUUUGCACCUGUUCAAGAAUUGUGAGGCUCUCCAACCUUUUUGGCAACAAGGUAUGGUACAAAUACAUCCGCGUACUCAUCCUUCUAUAAGUGUUGAGGUCUGGUUCUGGGAUAUGGUGGAGAUGUUGAGUGGUGAAAAGCUAGAGGGUUUCUUGAUGGCUUUAUGGGUGAUCUGGGUUGAGAGAAAUAAUAUGGUAUGGAGAGGACAGUUCUAUAAUAUUACCAACAUGAUGGAUUGGUCCUCUUCUCUUUUGCUGGAGUACAAGCAUUGUCAUCAACGUAGUGUGGGCACGAGGAAGAAAAAUAAGUCAAAAUGGACGUGUCCCCCUAGUGGAAGACUUAGAGUCAAUAUAGAUGGAAGUUUUGCGCAUGAAGAGGGUAGAGGUGGUGUGGGAGUAGUGAUCAGAGACCAUAAAGGUGCAUGUGUAGCGUCUCUUGCCCGGCCUUUCCCAAAUGCUGCGUCUGCUAUCCAUAUGGAAGUUGAGGCCCUUAGAGCAGGUUUGUUGGUUUGUGUUCAACAAGGGUGGCGAGAUGUUGAGGUUGAAAGUGACUGUAUGAACUUGGUACAAGCAAUGCAGACUGAUGGUGAAGACUUCUCUAUGGUUGGAAGGAUCAUUGAGGAUUGCCAAAGGUAUGUGAGUGCGUUUAAUUUUUUUCAGCUUCAACAUGUUUGUCGUGAAGCAAAUAGUGUGGCGAAUAGACUAGCCCACUUUGCUAGAUGCAAUAGCUAUGAUGAUUUUAGUUUAGAUGAGACACCUGCUAUUAUUCAGGAUGUUCUCUAUGAGGAUCUUUGUAAUAGUUCUUUGGUACAUCAGGGUUCAGGUUAUAUGUCCCCCUCGAUGGAAAAUUUUAUUUCAAUAAAUGAAACCGGGCGUGAGGCUGAGCCUCCCAGCUAGGCUGGGUUUCAAACCCCUUUUCAAAAAAAAAAAUUAACCAGAAACGCAACAGUUGAUACUUUCCGGUAGCCACCUACCCACCACUUGCUCUGAGCUCAAUUCCCAAUACCCAUGGCCCUAAUCUCCACACAAACCCUAACCCUAAAAUCCUUUCCUACCCUUUCUCAUCCAUCUAUCUUUCCUACUCCCCAAUCUCUCUCACUCUCACCUCCCAAUCAUCACUCCCUAUCCCUCUCCACCCCAAAUUCAACACCACGGUUCAGCGCCAGACGACAUGUCGUCUCCAGAGCCACCGCGACCUCGGCCUCAGAUUUCAGCCCCGACAUAGGCGAGAUCCUCGGUGACGUCAGCAUUUACACCGCUGCUGGCGACUCCGUCCAGUUCAAGGACCUUUGGGACCAGAAUGAGGUAUCUUAUUUACUUUCACGCUCUCAAAUUUUCAUUCUUUACUGAUUUUUUCAGCGUUUAUUAGAAAUUUACUGUGGUUUGGAGUGACCCUUUAACGAGUAGUCAUUGUUGGGUUUGGAAAGCUUCAAUCUUUGCUUGUAUGACAUUUGCUUUGUUGCAUUUGGCUUUUAAAUUCCAUGUCCAAAUGAACAUGCAUUUUGAAAUUCACUACAAGACUCGAAUUAGAUGAGAAAUUUAAAGCAUUAUGAUUAUAGAAAAAUGGCAACACAAUCACUCAUACCCCUACUCCAGUUAUGCUCUGUGUUUGAUGCAGAACUUUUGAGUUCUCAUAAGCAGUUAAGUGAUACAUACUAUAAUGUGUUUCAUAAUUGCGAAAAGUUUUGAUUAUUGCCUUGAUGCGGUGUGGUGUGUUAUUCCUGAAAUAGUUUCUGAAUGGCUUUUGUUCCAGGGGGUGGCUGUUGUUGCACUAUUGAGGCACUUUGGAUGCCCUUGCUGGUAAAUCAUCUCGUUGACUGAUAAUCUAAAAUGGGGUUGAAUUGGUGGAUAUUAUGAUAACUUGGUACUUAUGCUCUGUUGUUUUUAGUUGGGAACUUGCUUCAGCUCUAAAAGAAUCAAAAGAAAGAUUUGACUCUGCUGGUGUGAAACUAAUUGCUGUUGGUGUCGGUAGUCCUGAUAAAGCGCGUAUCCUUGCAGAACGGGUAUUUCUGUUUCCUGUUCAUGUCACCACAAUGCUUGAUGUUUUAAUGCUUUAGAGUAGAUACCUAGACUUAAAUGUUUGUUGCGUAAACCAAAUCAGAUAUGACAUGACAAGAAAUGGGGAAAUUUGUGAGUACAUGCAAGUGGAAAUGCAUAUAGGGCAAAUCCUGGAUUAAGAAAUAGCUGCUAAAUUUUUUAACUAAAAAGUUCUAAUAUUUAUCUCUUAUACAUAGACUUCUUUAAAUGAGUGUUUAUGUUACACUCAGCAAUUCGGCAUGUGUCCCACCAUCCAAGAAAAAAGCCAUUUGGCAUAAUGUUUCAUUUUCUGUCAUUUAAACCAGUUCAGAAAAUUGCAACUUUGUAAAAUUAAGCUAUGCAUUUGUCUAAUAUAGAGUGGUCUGGGAACAGAAAAAUUAGAGAGGGUAUGAGCCCUCAAUAGCUCUAAGAUGUAUCCAGUCAUGGAGACUUACCUUGAUUGUCCACUAUAACAAUAAUGAACCAAUGAUGCUUGAUAGGAUGCACAUAUGGCCAGCCACUCAUGCUAUCUGGCUUCUCUAUCUGAGGUCAAUUUUUGAUUAACAUGAUUGGAUGACUUGAUCACUUGGUUUUCUUCAUCUGCUUGAAAGGUUCCAAAUUUCGGUAGUGAUUGGUCUAAGGGAAUAGUCUAAUUAAAACAUGCUAUCACAUCUUUGGGUCUAAUUGCUUCGAAUAAGCAUGUCAUGUGACAUGAUAGUAGCUACUCAUACUUGAUUAUUUUCUUUCCAAUCGAAGGAAGCUCAUCUCAUGCUACUGUUAUCAGAUUGUGCCAUUACUGAUUUUUCUUAAGCAAGUUUGUCAGUGUCAUUAUCUAUUUAAUUAGUAGGUAGUAGGAUCCCCAUGGGCCGUGUCAAGUACUGGGAUAUAAAUUCAGUAAUGAGAAACUUGGCCCGGACAAAAGCAGAAUAUGUAAUAACUUUAGAAGAGAGUUAAUUGGUUAAAAACAUCGCAACCUUUGAAUCACAGAAAUCUUGUUAUCACUGUUGGAUGUCCAAAGCAAUUCUGCAAUUUCCAGGUCAUAUACUUGACUGAUACCAUGAACUGCUUAUUGAUUCCUGGAGCUCUUAUUUUCCCUUUGAUGUUCUAUAUACAGUUACCAUUUCCCAUGGAUUCCCUCUAUGCUGAUACUGAUCGUAAGGUAAUACUAUGUGCUACAUUAUUAUGUCCAAUUAGUGAGAGAAUAUUCUGGUUAUUGUAACUAAACUUGAAACUUCUUUGAUAGGCGUAUGAUGUUUUGGGCUUAUACUAUGGAUUGGGUCGAACAUUCUUCAAUCCAGCUAGUGUAAGUUCUUUCCUGCUUUUGCGUAUUUGUUGAUUUGUUGAAGACUUUCAUGCAACUUUUUGGGAUUAUAAUACGACAGGCAAAGGUGUUGUCAAGAUUUGAUGCCCUAAAGAAAGCUGUCAAAAACUAUACCAUUGAAGCCACUCCAGAUGAUAGAAGUAGUGUGUUACAACAGGUUAGAUCUGUUUUGAUCUAUACUCUACAGUAAGGAGAGUUGUUUGAAAAUACAUCUUGUUCAUGGAUUCAGUUGAAACUUAAUGACAAUCUUCUCUCAAUUUUUUCUCUUUCUGUUAAUUAGGGAGGGAUGUUUGUCUUCAAAGGUAAGCAGCUAUUGUAUGCUCGGAAAGAUGAAGGAACAGGUGAUCAUGCCCCUUUGGAUGAUAUCUUAAAUGUUUGCUGCAAAGUUCCUGUCUCUUGAAACUGUAUCAUCUACAGAUUCCCUCAGUCAUGGGGCAUGUUUGGCCCUGUCUUUCAUUAGCAGUUGUAGAAAAUUACAUACAGUCAAUACAUACAGAUAUUGGAUAUAUGGCAUUGUAUAGGUAGGAAUUCAUACGGUAUGAAGUAUAUGGCAUUGUAUGUGUUUUAUACACGUUUGAGCAAAUGAUAGAAGUAAUGUAAGACAGCUGAGUUUGCACUUUGCUCAUUUCUUUUCUAGAAGUGUACUACUGUGUUUCUACCUCAUUGAAGUCUACCCUUCAUAUAUAUAUUUGCUCCCCAUUGUUCUAAAGUCUGGGAGUGACUGAAAUUGAAGAAAAUUGUACUCUGAUUUAAAAUAAAGCAUAGGAUGAUGGUGCUUUUGUUUUUCUGGGUGCAUUGAAAUUGAAUGUGUUGGAUUAACUAGUAAUGAUCAAACAAGAGCAGCGAACCAAAAGCAAGGCAAAGUAAAAGGGAAAGGAAACAUUCAGAAAAGAAGAGUCGACUCACAGGUCUCAUCUACUGUUACAGGAGCUUCAUCUUCAAUCAGACCUAAAUAUUUUGACACGAACAUGGAAGCUGAAAAUCUUCAUAUCGAUUUCCAACAGAUUCUUCAAUGAACCAACCAUCAUCACUGAUGUGACCCUAAAUCGUAACAUGUCGUACUCUAGGUUACUUCAGUUACCAUGGUUGAUUAACUGAAGAACCUUCUAUAGGCCUUUGGAUUCUGCCUUCCAUGAAUCUAACAUUUCAAAUGAGACUCAAUGAGUUUGCAUUACUGAUUACUCUAUGAUGUUUUUAUAGGAUCCUUCAUAUAAUGUACAGAACUGGGAAAGUGCUGUCACAAUAAACACGUUGCCUUGUUUCUCCAAAAGGACAAUGCCCAUUAGCCCUAAUUUUAAGAAUUUUAUUCCCACCAAUAAAAUCAGAUUUCAAAAUUCCCAAAAGCUAACUUAAACAAAAAAAAGACAAUUAUACCGUUAAUAAUUUAAAUAAACUACAAUAGACCAUUAUAAAAACAAUAGAAGGUAUAUUUUAAAAUAAAUAUCUAUGACCGGAUUCUUGCAACCGAUGGCCGUUGACCGUGACUCCGGCGACUGUUGACCUGGAUCCGAUGACGUUGACGGGACUCCGGCGACCGUUAACCAAACUCCGACGACAGUUGACCACCUACUGGGGUCAGUAGGACCUCCUAUUGGAGUAAGUAUGCAUGGGUCUAUCCGCAAGGGUCAACUGAGGGCAGUAAGAGGGUCUACUGGGGGCAGUAGGAGGGUAUACUGGGGGCAGUAGGGGGGUAUACUGGGUGCAAUAGAGGGGUCUACUGGGGCAAUAGGAGGGUAUAUUGGGGGCAGUAAGAGGGUCUACUGGGGGCAGUAGGAGCAGAUGACUUGCGUUUUCUCACAGCCAAACCCCUCACCAACAACAACAACCAAACCAAUAUAUUUUGCUCUGCCGCAUUCAACACAAAACAACCAAUUCAUGAAUUAAUGGGUUCUCUACCCUUUACCAAUUCAAAAUCUAAUAUCAACCAUAACUCCAUUUUGGAAUCAAAUACCAUGACCAAAAACCAACACAGUAGUACUUACCUUAUAGCCAAAAGUUUCAGGCAAAGUCCUCCAAAUUACUCUCUGCACCCAAGACAGAAGAUCAUCGCUGCCAACUCCGAAAUACGCCCCCGAUGGCCAGCUCACCACCACCUCCGACGUCGUUGAGGCCUACACUGUCGUCGUCGCCACCAGCACGGUGGUGAAGCGGCUCGUGUUCCCUGGCUCCGGCGACGGCAAGGGAGGCUUCUGGAACCGUGGUGGAGCAUGAAGCGACGGCGGGUUAGGCGCAGCAGAUGGAUCUAAGAUGCUUCUGGAACCGUGGUGGUUUUGAAGCCGAACUCUGUGGCGGAGCAUGAAGCGACAGCGGGUUAGGUGCGACAGAUGGAUCCAAGAUACAGAUUCCGAUGAUGGCGAGGGUUUUGAGGUUGGCGAUGGUGAGCUUCUGUUUCGUUUUUCCGGUACGGAGGAGGGAGAGAGAGAGAGAGAGAGAGAGAGAGAGAGAGAGAGAGAGAGAGAGAGAGAGAGAGAGAGACGAGAGNGAAGNNNNNNNNNNNNNNNNNNNNGAGAGAGAGAGAGAGGAUCUACAAGGGUAAUUUGGUCAUGAAAAAAACAUAAAAAGUCAAAAAAAUUGUUAGUGGGAAUAGUCUAUAAGAGUCUAUUGGGUUAAUGAGAAUUUUAGAAUCUCUUUUUGUUAGUGGGAAAAAAAUGUCUAAAUUUAGGGGUAGUGAGAAUUUUCCCAAUUAAAUUGCAGUAUUCAGUGGAAACCACACCAGCAGAUCAAUGAUCAAUUGCCUAUAAAUCUCAUUAGAGAUUAAAAGAGAAAACGAGGUUUAGUUUUUCUAACCAGUUUGAUUUGAGAUGACUGUCCAUUGUUGAGUCAUGACAGUUCAAAGCACAGGAGACCGGCAGACCGGCGUUGAGUAUGACUGAAGUUGAAAGUCAGGAGUCUGUGUCAUUGAGGGUUUCCUUCUGAGAUGCUACUUCAAACUGAGAUUUAGCAGAGGUUGGAUG